UUCGAUAAUAUCGAACGAUACGAUAAAGGAAUCGAAAUAACGAUGUUGAUCUUGAAAUUCUUCUUCCUGAUUUCUACUAUUUCGUUUUCUUUCAGCUCUUCGGUAGAAAUGCCUGCAAGGAAAAGUAAAUUCCCGUCGUGUUACAAUAAUAUGUUUAACAGUUUUCACGUGCUCAUUCAAUUCAAUCGUUCAAUUAAAAAAAUUGUAAAAUGUUUGAAUUCUUCUUACUUCCGCUUUGUUUUCCGCAAAUUUUUUGGUAAGAUCAAAUAACAAAAUUCGAGUUUAAUUUUAGUUUCAGUCCGAAAUAUUGACCAAAAAAUGAAUUUAAAUUGAAUAGUGUUAUUGGCAAAGACAAGGGUUAUUCAAACUGGUAGCAUUUCGCUGAGUGAGUAGGUACUUGCCACAGUUCACUUUGCAAACAAAGAAACAACGUAUCCGUGAAUUUGUAGGUGGUUCGCAAAACAUUAAAAUCUUGUCACUCAGUGGAAAAUCAUUGUGGCGUCGCCUACGUGCGCGCAUCUUGAAAGUACUCGCCAGACGUAAAUUUAUAUGCAAGUUUGUUGAAAUGUGAAAGCGCUCGAGAAUACACACGGACUCCAUCUGCGUCUACAGCUCAACGAUAUAUAGUGCGAGGCACAAUUAAAGGGCAAAGCGGGGGAACAAGUUUACAAAACUCCGAAUGUAAAGCACAUACGUACAUUGAAGUAUUUCUAAAAUGUGCUCAAUGCAUUGCACAGUUCCAUGCAUAUCUGUAUAACGCGUCAUAUAUUUUUUCCAUCAUGGACCCGAUACAGAUAGAGCAAAAUCGUUCACGACCACUUGCUUAUUUUUAUGACAUAUUGUUUAUUGUUAAACUCAUUUAAAUGGCAGAGGUAAUAUUAUUUAUGGUAACAUAUCGUGACAUUUUUAUCAUCGCCUCGUGCAUCAGGCGCGCGCGCGCGCUACCUGAUUUUCUAUGACGUUAUCGAAUAUUUUCGCGCGGUACAACACGCAAGCCCAUCAUGUAGCGCUGUGCUCACCUUGUGUCAUUGUGCGAUAGGAGCUUUUGAACCAGCAAAACACCAAACAAAAUUCAAUUAACGCGCCAAUAUAGGUAGGGUAGACUGGGUACGGUAGUACCAGGGGGGCGGUAGUACCAAAGCAAAUAUCUCGUGAAUAGUUGAGCACAGCCCUAUGCGUUCAAGGAGUGAUAGUAGCCGCAUACAAGUUGAAGUAUGUAAGUUGUAAGUUGAGUCACACAAAGCCAGUUACACGCGUGUAGGACGUGUUUUUGAUUUUUUGAGAUCAAAAGUAAAUAUUUGAUGAUGAAUUGUUUUUAGUUUUUAAAUCUUGUCUUGCGUGUUAUAUUAUUCAUGUGUGUUUAUUGAAAAUAAAUGGUUUUUGAAGAAUAAAGAUGCCACGAGUACGUAUUCACAAAACAGGAAAAGGCCAACAUGAUGAUAGCGCUUAUAUCAAUGCCUAUGAGUGUAUAUUGAGUGUAAGAACUGGGCUCAUGAGCAAUGCACUGACGGAGAACCCAGCUACGUAUGCAAUAAUUGUGAUUCCAACUAAUUUUAUUGUUGCACACAUAGCAGGACAUUUAAGUAUAAUUUUAAAAGUGUUUUCUUUAUUGUAAUAAAUACGUUUAUUGUCAUAAAUAA